rnacentral:rRNA from 1 species
CGGGACGGGUGAGUAACGCGUGGGCAACCUGCCUCACACAGGGGGACAACAGCUGGAAACGGCUGCUAAUACCGCAUAGGCGCACAGAAUCGCAUGAUUCGGUGUGGAAAGCUUUUGCAGUGUGAGAUGGGCCCGCGUCCGAUUAGGUAGUUGGUGGGGUAACGGCUCACCAAGCCGACGAUCGGUAGCCGGCCUGAGAGGGUGGACGGCCACAUUGGGACUGAGACACGGCCCAAACUCCUACGGGAGGCAGCAG